ACGGCUCAGUAACACGUAGAUAAUUUGCCCUUAGGUGGAGGAUACCCUCGGGAAACUGAGAAUAAUACUCCAUAGAUCUAGACUGCUGGAAUGCUUUUAGAUUGAAAGAUUUAUCGCCUAAGGAUAAGUCUGCGGACUAUCAGGUUGUAGUCAGGGUAACUACCUGACUAGCCUACGACGGAUACGGGUUGUGAGAGCACUAGCCCGGAGAUGAUAUCUGAGACACGAUAUCAGGCCCUACGGGGCGCAGCAGGCGCGAAAACUUCGCACUGUGCGAAAGCACGACGAGGGAAUCCCAAGUGCUGGCUCGUAAGAGUCAGCUGUUUUUCUGUCUAAAAAACAGAGAGAGUAAGGGCUGGGUAAGACGGGUGCCAGCCGCCGCGGUAAUACCUGCAGCUCAAGUGGUGGCCGCUAUUAUUGGGCCUAAAACGUCCGUAGCCGGUUCUAUAAAUGCCUGGGUAAAUCGUACGGCUUAACCGUACGAAUUCCGGGUAGACUGUUCAACUUGGGACCGGGAGAGGCUAGAGGUACUCCUGGGGUAGAGGUGAAAUUCUGUAAUCCUAGGGGGACCACCAGUGGCGAAGGCGUCUAGCUAGAACGGGUCUGACGGUGAGGGACGAAGCCCUGGGGAGCAAACGGGAUUAGAUACCCCGGUAGUCCAGGGUGUAAACGCUGCUCGCUUGAUGUUAGUCGGGCUCCGAGCCCAACUAGUGUCGGAGAGAAGUUGUUAAGCGAGCUGCCUGGGGAGUACGGUCGCAAGACUGAAACUUAAAGGAAUUGGCGGGGGAG
rnacentral:rRNA from 1 species